UACGUAGGGUGCAAGCGUUGUCCGGAAUUAUUGGGCGUAAAGAGCUCGUAGGCGGCUUGUCACGUCGGCUGUGAAAACCUGGGGCUCAACCCCGGGCCUGCAGCCGAUACGGGCAAACUAGAAUUCGGUAGGGGAGACUGGAAUUCCUGGUGUAGCGGUGAAAUGCGCAGAUAUCAGGAGGAACACCGGUGGCGAAGGCGGGUCUCUGGGCCGAUAUUGACGCUGAGGAGCGAAAGCGUGGGGAGCGAACAGG
rnacentral:rRNA from 1 species